rnacentral:rRNA from 1 species
GGCCGAGCACUCUAAAUAGACUGCCUUCGUAAGGAGGAGGAAGGUGUGGACGACGUCAAGUCAUCAUGGCCCUUAUGCCCAGGGCGACACACGUGCUACAAUGGCAUAUACAAUGAGACGCAAUACCGCGAGGUGGAGCAAAUCUAUAAAAUAUGUCCCAGUUCGGAUUGUUCUCUGCAACUCGAGAGCAUGAAGCCGGAAUCGCUAGUAAUCGUAGAUCAGCCAUGCUACGGUGAAUACGUUCCCGGGUCUUGUACUCACCGCCCGUCACACCAUGGGAGUUGAUUUCACUCGAAGCCGGAAUACUAAACUAGUUACCGUCCACAGUGGAAUCAGCGACUGGGGUGAAGUCGUAACAAGGUAACCGUAGGAGAACCUGCGGUUGGAUCACCUCCUUU